AGAGAUAUGGCUCAGUGGGUAAGAGCAAUUGCUUACCUGAGUUAGAUCCUCAGCAUCUUCA
rnacentral:tRNA from 1 species